UUAUUUUUUUCUUCUUACUUUUGUUUAUAGGAGUGUACUUCAUUUUUAUCUAAUAAAUUUAUUUUAUAUUUUUACAACAUAUUGAGCAUGCCUUUUGUUGGAUUAGGGGUCAUGGAUUGCCUACGUAGACCAAUCGAGUCUCGACCCGACCUGAUCCAUUUCGAAUUUUGAUUAUUUGAUAAAAAGGGGAUAAAAUUGGAUAUUUGAAUUUUGGAGAAACAGUAACAAAAAUUGUUCCACUUCCCUUUAUAUUCCAAAAUUGAUUCUUCUUGUUCAGUGUGUGAAAUAGAGGAAUGAAAAUCAGAAAAAAUAGAAAAAGAAAAGAGGUGAACAAUUUCAACAUUAACAAAACAUCAAAGGCAUUUAAGUUUGUGAAUCAAUAUUCUGUUUCCUAGAGAGACGUAGAUUGACUUGGGAACAAUUGUGUCAGUAGCAAAUUCAACCAACAUUAAGAAAUGACUGAACGAGGAUAAACUCUAAUCACUCCAAGUGAGAGUUUUGGAUGUCGAGCAAAGAGACAAAGUGGAAGAGCACGUCGUCGAAGGGCAUGUUUUUGAGGUUGUGAGAUCAUACGAAAUGGUGUCCCCAGGACGAAACAAAAUCUGUUACGAAACGAAAGAGCUAUGCGAAGGGAAAGAGUGAAGAAACUGAAAGAAUUCAAUUUUUUUUAAGAUGACCCCUAACAUUACUGUUGCUAGUUUUAUUCAUUUGUUUGAAUUAAAAUGUGUAGAACUAGAAAACUAAGUAGCAAUCUCGGAUUAAAAAGCAUUAGUUAUUUUAGCAAAUUCUCUCCGAGAUCUUUGGGGCGCGAGAUUAAUUGAUGUUUACCACGAAAUGUGGCUUAGCGAGCCUUUUUAGGUGUAUAUAAGUCGUUUUAAAUAUUUGUGGAAUGACUUUUCUCUUUA